GAUGAACGCUGGCGGCGUGCCUAACACAUGCAAGUCGAGCGAUCUUCUUUGGAAGAGAGCGGCGGACGGGUGAGUAACGCGUGGGUAACCUGCCCUGUACACACGGAUAACAUACCGAAAGGUAUGCUAAUACGGGAUAAAAUAUUUUAGUCGCAUGGCUAGAAUAUCAAAGCUUUUGCGGUACAGGAUGGACCCGCGUCUGAUUAGCUAGUUGGUAAGGUAACAG
rnacentral:rRNA from 1 species